rnacentral:rRNA from 1 species
CUACGGGCUGCUGCAGUGGGGAAUAUUGGACAAUGGGCGAAAGCCUGAUCCAGCCAUGCCGCGUGGAUGAAGAAGGCCCUAGGGUUGUAAAGUCCUUUCGGUGGUGAAGAUAAUGACGGUAACCACAGAAGAAGCCCCGGCUAAUUUCGUGCCAGCAGCCGCGGUAAUACGAAAGGGGCUAGCGUUGUUCGGAAUUACUGGGCGUAAAGCGCACGUAGGCGGCCUUGUAAGUUGGGGGUGAAAUCCCGGAGCUCAACUCCGGAACUGCCUUCAAAACUACAAAGCUAGAGGAUGUGAGAGGAUAGUGGAAUUCCGAGUGUAGAGGUGAAAUUCGUAGAUAUUCGGAAGAACACCGGUGGCGAAGGCGACUGUCUGGCACAUUUCUGACGCUGAGGUGCGAAAGCGUGGGGAGCAAACAGGAUUAGAUACCCGCGUAGUC